rnacentral:misc_RNA from 1 species
UUUCACCCCAGAACACAUCAAUGCUUUAGAGGCUGGCAAUGAAACUUCAAAAUCUGGUACUGAAAAAUCAUGUAGUUCAAGUGAUAUUCAUCGACCAGAAGGUAGCAAUACUGUCUGUGAAAUUGAUGAUUUUAGCAGGUCUUCUCUAGAUACUGAUCAUGGUGUCUCUGCUCUUUGUACAAGGAGAGUGAAUAACAUUUUG